UGCGUAGGCGGCUUUUUAAGUCGGAUGUGAAAUCCCUGAGCUUAACUUAGGAAUUGCAUUCGAUACUGGGAAGCUAGAGUAUGGGAGAGGAUGGUAGAAUUCCAGGUGUAGCGGUGAAAUGCGUAGAGAUCUGGAGGAAUACCGGUGGCGAAGGCGGGUCUCUGGGCAGUAACUGACGCUGAGGAGCGAAAGCAUGGGUAGCGAACAGGAUUAGAUACCCCGGUA
rnacentral:rRNA from 1 species